UACAGAGGUGCCAAGCGUUAGGCGGAAUCACUGGGCUUAAAGCGCGUGUAGGUGGGUCGUUAAGUGUCCGCGUGAAAUCCCACGGCUCAACCGUGGAACUGCCGGGCAUACUGGCGAUCUUGAGGCAUUCAGGGGCGAGCGGAACAAAUGGUGGAGCGGUGAAAUGCGUAGAUAUUAGGAAGAACACCAGUGGCGAAGGCGGCUCACUGGCCCGGUACUGACGCUGAGGCGCGAAAGCGUGGGGAGCAAACAGG
rnacentral:rRNA from 1 species